UACGGAGGGUGCAAGCGUUAAUCGGAAUUACUGGGCGUAAAGCGUGCGCAGGCGGUUUGUUAAGUCUGCUGUGAAAUCCCCGAGCUCAACCUGGGAAUUGCGAUGGAGACUGCAAGGCUUGAAUCUGGCAGAGGGGGGUAGAAUUCCACGUGUAGCAGUGAAAUGCGUAGAGAUGUGGAGGAACACCGAUGGCGAAGGCAGCCCCCUGGGUCAAGAUUGACGCUCAUGCACGAAAGCGUGGGGAGCAAACAGG
rnacentral:rRNA from 1 species